rnacentral:rRNA from 1 species
AGUAGUUUGAUCAUGGCUCGAGGACGACGCUGGCGGCGUGCUUAACACAUGCAAGUCGAACGGUGACCCAGGGCUUGCCCUGGUGAUCAGUGGCGAACGGGUGAGUAACACGUGGGCAACCUGCCCCUGACUUCGGGAUAACUCCUCGAAAGAGGAGCUAAUACCGGAUACGACCACUUCGGACAUCCGAUGGUGGUGGAAAGUUUUUCGGUCAGGGAUGGGCCCGCGGCCUAUCAGCUAGUUGGUGGGGUAAUGGCCUACCAAGGCGACGACGGGUAGCCGGCCUGAGAGGGCGACCGGCCACACUGGGACUGAGACACGGCCCAGACUCCUACGGGAGGCAGCAGUGGGGAAUAUUGCGCAAUGGGCGAAAGCCUGACGCAGCGACGCCGCGUGAGGGAUGAAGGCCUUCGGGUUGUAAACCUCUUUCAGCAGGGACGAAGCGAAAGUGACGGUACCUGCAGAAGAAGCACCGGCUAACUACGUG